GGCUCUGUAGUGUAGUGGUUUACACAUUUGCUUAACAAGUGAAAGAGCCCCAGUUUGAUCCUGGGAGGAGACA
rnacentral:tRNA from 1 species